UCCCCAGUAGCUCAGUGGUAGAGCACUCGACUGUUAAUCGAUCGGUCGCUGGUUCGAAUCCGGCCUGGGGAGCCA
rnacentral:tRNA from 1 species